rnacentral:rRNA from 1 species
UAGGGAAUCUUCCGCAAUGGACGCAAGUCUGACGGAGCAACGCCGUGUGAGUGAAGAAGGAUUUCGGUUCGUAAAACUCUGUUGUUAGAGAAGAACAGCGCAUAGAGUAACUGUUAUGCGUGUGACGGUAUCUAACCAGAAAGCCACGGCUAACUACGUGCCAGCAGCCGCGGUAAUACGUAGGUGGCAAGCGUUGUCCGGAUUUAUUGGGCGUAAAGCGAGCGCAGGCGGUCAAUUAAGUCUGAUGUGAAAGCCCCCGGCUCAACCGGGGAGGGUCAUUGGAAACUGGUUGACUUGAGUGCAGAAGAGGAGAGUGGAAUUCCAUGUGUAGCGGUGAAAUGCGUAGAUAUAUGGAGGAACACCAGUGGCGAAGGCGACUCUCUGGUCUGUAACUGACGCUGAGGCUAGAAAGCGUGGGUAGCAAACAGG